AAAAAUCCGCUAAGCUUAACCCAUGCGGCACCCGUACCGCAAACGGACACACGUGGUCGGGUAGAACAUACUGAGGCGUUGAGAGAUUCAUGGUUAAGGAACUAGGCAAAUUGACCCUGUAACUUCGGGAUAAAGGGUCCUCGUGAAGAGCGAGGCGCAGAGAAUAGGUCCAGGCAACUGUUUAACAAAAACACAGGGCUGUGCAAACUCGAAAGAUGACGUAUACAGCCUGACACCUGCCCGGUGCCGGAAGGUUAAGAGGAGAUGUCACACUUAUGUGGAAGCAUUGAAUUGAGGCCCCGGUAAACGGCGGCCGUAACAAUAACGGUCCUAAGGUAGCGAAAUUCCUUGUCGGGUAAGUUCCGACCUGCACGAAUGGUGUAAUGAUCCGGACGCUGUCUCAACCAUGAGCUCAGUGAAAUUGUGGUAUCGGUGAAGAUGCCGAUUACCCGCGAUGGGACGAAAAGACCCCGUGAACCUUUACUACAGCUUAGCAUUGACCUUGGUCAUCCGAUGUGUAGGAUAGGCCGGAGGCUUCGAAGCGGGAGCGCCAGCUUUCGUGGAGCCAUCCUUGAAAUACGGCCCUUUGGCUGUCUGAGGUCUAACGCGCGAUGCGCGGACACUGCUUGGUGGGUAGUUUGACUGGGGUGGUCGCCUCCAAAAGCGUAACGGAGGCUUCCAAAGGUGCCCUCGGGUCGAUUGGUAACCGACCUCAAAGAGUGCAAUGGCAUAAGGGCGCUUGACUGGGAGGCAGACAUGCCGAGCAGGCAGGAAACUGGGGCAUAGUGAUCCGGCGGAUGUGUAUGGAAACUCCGUCGCUCAAAGGAUAAAAGGUACUCCGGGGAUAACAGGCUGAUCCCCCCCAAGAGCUCAUAUCGACGGGGUGGUUUGGCACCUCGAUGUCGGCUCGUCACAUCCUGGGGCUGGAGAAGGUCCCAAGGGUUGGGCUGUUCGCCCAUUAAAGUGGCACGCGAGCUGGGUUCAGAACGUCGUGAGACAGUUCUGUCUCCAUCUAUCGUGGGCGUGGGAGUUUUGCGUGGUGCCGUCACUAGUACGAGAGGACCGUGAUGGACAGACCUCCGGUUUACCAGUUGUGCCGCCAGGCGCACCGCUGGGUAUCUGAGUCUGGAUUGGAUAAGCGCUGAAAGCAUCUAAGUGCGAAGCCAGCCGCAAGAUGAGAACUCCAUUGAGGGUCGUCAGAGACGAUGACGUUGAUAGGAUGCAGGUGUAAAGACAGCGAUGUCAAAGCCGAGCAUUACUAAUUGCCC
rnacentral:rRNA from 1 species